GUAACACUGAGACUUUAGGCCA
rnacentral:siRNA from 1 species